rnacentral:rRNA from 1 species
AGGACAAACGCUGGCGGCGUGCCUAAGACAUGCAAGUCGAACGGAAGGCUUCGGCCUUUAGUGGCGGACGGGUGAGGAGCGCGUGGAGAACCUGCCCCGGGGUGGGGGAUAACAGUCGGAAACGAUUGCUAAGACCGCAUACGACCAUUCGUUGCAGGAUGAAUGGGGAAAGCAGCGAUGUGCCCUGGGAGGGCUCCGCGUCGGAUUAGCUAGUUGGUGGGGUAACGGCCUACCAAGGCUGCGAUCCGUAGCUGGUCUGAGAGGACGGCCAGCCACACUGGGACUGAGACACGGCCCAGACUCCUACGGGAGGCAGCAGUAGGGAAUUUUCCACAAUGGGGGCAACCCUGAUGGAGCAACGCCGCGUGCAGGAUGAAGGCUUUCGAGUCGUAAACUGCUUUUAUAUGUGAAGAUUAUGACGGUAGCAUAUGAAUAAGGAUCGGCUAACUCGUGCCAGCAGCCGCGGUAA